CAGUAGCCGCGGUAAUACGUAGGUGGCAAGCGUUGUCCGGAAUUAUUGGGCGUAAAGGGCUCGCAGGCGGUUUCUUAAGUCUGAUGUGAAAGCCCCCGGCUCAACCGGGGAGGGUCAUUGGAAACUGGGAGACUUGAGUGCAGAAGAGGAGAGUGGAAUUCCACGUGUAGCGGUGAAAUGCGUAGAGAUGUGGGGGAACACCAGUGGCGAAGGCGACUCUCUGGUCUGUAACUGACGCUGAGGAGCGAAAGCGUGGGGAGCGAACAGGAUUAGAGACCCCUGUAGUCCCUGUCUCUUAUAC
rnacentral:rRNA from 1 species